rnacentral:rRNA from 1 species
GCCUGAUGCAGCAACGCCGCGUGAGGGACGACGGCCUUCGGGUUGUAAACCUCUUUUAGCAGGGAAGAAGCGAAAGUGACGGUACCUGCAGAAAAAGCACCGGCUAACUACGUGCCAGCAGCCGCGGUAAUACGUAGGGUGCAAGCGUUGUCCGGAAUUAUUGGGCGUAAAGAGCUCGUAGGCGGUUUGUCGCGUCUGCUGUGAAAUCCCGAGGCUCAACCUCGGGUCUGCAGUGGGUACGGGCAGACUAGAGUGCGGUAGGGGAGAUUGGAAUUCCUGGUGUAGCGGUGGAAUGCGCAGAUAUCAGGAGGAACACCGAUGGCGAAGGCAGAUCUCUGGGCCGCUACUGACGCUGAGGAGCGAAAGGGUGGGGAGCAAACAGGCUUAGAUACCCUGGUAGUCCACCCCGUAAACGUUGGGCGCUAGAUGUGGGGACCAUUCCACGGUUUCCGUGUCGUAGCUAACGCAUUAAGCGCCCCGCCUGGGGAGUACGGCCGCAAGGCUAAAACUCAAAGGAAUUGACGGGGGCCCGCACAAGCGGCGGAGCAUGCGGAUUAAUUCGAUGCAACGCGAAGAACCUUACCAAGGCUUGACAUAUACGAGAACGGGCCAGAAAUGGUCAACUCUUUGGACACUC